rnacentral:rRNA from 1 species
AUUGAACGCUGGCGGCAGGCCUAACACAUGCAAGUCGAGCGGAUGAAGGGAGCUUGCUCCUGGAUUCAGCGGCGGACGGGUGAGUAAUGCCUAGGAAUCUGCCUGGUAGUGGGGGAUAACGUCCGGAAACGGGCGCUAAUACCGCAUACGUCCUGAGGGAGAAAGUGGGGGAUCUUCGGACCUCACGCUAUCAGAUGAGCCUAGGUCGGAUUAGCUAGUUGGUGGGGUAAAGGCCUACCAAGGCGACGAUCCGUAACUGGUCUGAGAGGAUGAUCAGUCACACUGGAACUGAGACACGGUCCAGACUCCUACGGGAGGCAGCAGUGGGGAAUAUUGGACAAUGGGCGAAGCCUGAUCCAGCCAUGCCGCGUGUGUGAAGAAGGUCUUCGGAUUGUAAAGCACUUUAAGUUGGGAGGAAGGGCAGUAAGUUAAUGCCUUGCUGUUUUGACGUUACCAACAGAAUAAGCACCGGCUAACUUCGUG